UAAAGAUUAGAGCAGAUUGAGGGAGAAAUGAAGGAUGGAGAAGUCACAGAAAAAUUGAGUUGUUAAGAAGAUGUUAAUUGUUCUGUGUCCAAGUAUGGGCCCUCCAACACAUGGAAGAUAUGGUUCAGAGGAGGACCAUGAAGAUUACCAGAGGACUAGAGCGCCUUUCCCACAAAGAAAGUUGGGAGAACUGGGACUGUUCAGCCUGGAAAAAAAGAAAGCUGUAUAUGCUGUUCAAAGACAUGGGGACUUGAAGGCAUACAUCUCCUUUCUGAUGUCCCAGACAUCGACAGAGCUGAAUUCCCUGAGCACGGGGCUGAUUUAGCAGCCAUCUGUCUGAAUUGACUGCUGUCCCUGGCUUCAGUGACCACCCAGCCUGAAUUCUGCAAGGGGGGCUGCCAAGCUGUGGUUACUUUCUGCCCCAAAUAGCUCUGAAGUGUGGCCUGGUGUGUGCUUUAAGUAAAAUUAUGCUACUGUUGGUUCCCCGCUUGAUUAAAAUGUAUCUUUCAGUCUUUAAGGGUGGGCAGUGACUUCCUGGGAUUAGAAAAGGAAGUGAACUGGCUGGAAAGCAGCAAGGAAGCACUUUGUUUACGAGUACUGGGUGGGUAGAGCAGCGUAUGUUGCUAAAGUCUGGGGCUUGGCCGCAUUACUCAACUCCUGCUAAAGAUCUGCUAAAUUCACUGAGUCCCGUUUUCUUUCUUAACAG
ensembl:lncRNA